CCCAGAGGAAGAGUAAAGCCAUGUUGAAACUAUCUACAAUUCCUCAAGUGUUUUUCCAGCUACCCACCACUUGCCCACCAACUUCACACAGACCUCAGUUAGAAUCUGACAAUUGGCAUCACAAACGGGAUCCUGAGUCUUGCAGAUUUAGAAGGAGCAGCGCCCCUCUUGCAGCAACAUUUGGCAGCAUGUGGUUGGACUGUCAAUAAAUCCAAGGUCCAAGGACCUGGAUUAUCUGCCAAAUUUUUGGAAGUUAUCUGGUCGGAUGGAUCUGCACUGCCCUUCCAGAAGCAGCUGCUGUGGAUGGCUUACCUUGGCACACACAAUCAGGGCCUGCAGAUAACUCAACACAGCUGGAGACUUGGGGUCUGAUGGCUGACACCUGGAAUACAAUGCAGCAAGCUUUGGACAAAGGAUGCCGCAAAACCCAUGGUGCACCUGCCCCCCUUGCUGGCCCAUAGUGUUUAUGAUGGGUGAGGCUGGCUAGUGGGGGAACAUGUAGUAUCCCUGGCCCAGGCACCAUGGUGCAUAGAGUAACACUGGGGUAAUACAAAUGUGGGAUGGGUACCCAUCACAGCCUGUGAAAAAAUAACACGUAUCACCACACCAAAGGUGUGGUAGAACAAGCAGCCCCACUAAGGUCAGCUCCAGUGGACUUUGUGCCCCCUGGGGGUUUAUGGGUCUGUGGGGACACAAGGUGGCCUUACCUAUCAGCAGACUGAACUAGACGUUGUACCUGGGGGUGGCCUUAUGUACCUGCCAUUGUUCUCCCCACAUUGCCCAGACACCCACAUAACCAGGAAGCACUACACUCUCAGUUUUUGCAAGUUUGAUGAGCCCCCUGGUGGUUCUACUCCUUGGCAAUGACUAUCUCUGGAGUGGGUGUCAUAAGCACAAGUUACUGCUCUUGCAGAGCACACCACCCAGGCUCUGAAUUACACCCAAGUGGCCCUCCUCCUGUUAACACCUUACUGAUCAGAUCAGUAAGGUGGCGUUGCAAAACCAAAUGGCCUUAGACAUAAUAACUACUGCCCGAGGAGGCACCUGUUCUCUUUUAGGAAUAUAAUGUUGUACCUUUAUCGCUGACAAUCGGCAGAACAUGACAGCAGCCCUGCAACAUUUCUCACAAGAGAUUAAUGGAGUCGAGAGCCUUACUGAUGACCCCCUGCAGAGAUGGUGGGCAUCCUUAGGCUCUGGCCAAUGAUGGGCCCUAAUAGUCGUAAGUAGCAUAUCUGGUGUCCUAGUAGUGAGCUGUUGCUCUCUGUAUUGUUGUUGUGGGUUAUGGAUUCAGGGCUCUACCCUAUGGGCAUGUGCCCCUGCCCAGAGGAUGCCCUCAGCCUAGGGGGUGGAGUGUAAGGGAAAUGGCUGUGCUUUAGUCAGGAGUAGACUGAGGCGGCCUUCUGGCACAGCAUGACUCAGCAGGUUUGGAGUACAGGUGCACAACCCCACACAUUAUGUAACCAUGCCACGUGAGGUGCCUUAGGUGAUCACCCAGAUGAGCUCAUGCUUGACUCGGCACCACUAUUGUCUCUAAAACGUAUAACUACGUUGCUGAUGCUGUACAUAGAGCUUGCUCAUGCCCAGAGAAAGGGUAAAGCCAUGUCAAAACUGUCUACUAUUCCUCGAGUGGUUUUCCAGCUACCUCCAUUUGCCCCGCUGACUCCCCUCAGACAUCAGUUAGAACCUGACACAGAGGUUGCAGUGAGCCAAGAUCAUGUCACUGUACUCCAGCCUAGGUGACAGACUGCUGGUGUAUUUACCAGUACUUGUCUAUGGUUAAUCAGUUAAAUCAGCCCAUUCAUUCAUGCAAGUCAGCCUGAGGGUGUGAUCAACAACCUUCUAUGAAUAAUUGAUAGUCUCUUUUGCAUGGCUACAAACUAUAUCCCAUGUAAGAGAGAUGCCCUUUCCAAAUGCAAACCAUAGUUCUCGUUAUGUAAUCCUAUAAAAGAAGUCAAUGGGUCAGUGAGAAUCUACCACUAUCAAUCUCCAUAUGCCUCCAUGUUUGAAUAAUGAUAGCCUAUUCUCUAUAUGCUCAGCUGUGUCCAUGCCAUGAAUCACAGAAAGUCUUGUUUAAGCAAUCAUGUGUAGGAGUUUCUUCUCCAAUAGCAAAUUGGAUUUAGAAAUAGGUGUAUGGUUCCUCUCCAUAUUCAGACUGAUGUACAGGAGAUGUGGGGGAAAUGCAGAGUAGAGAGCAUGAAGAGAUAUGGAAACAUGGAUUUCAAUCCCUGAGUAUUAAAGUAAGCAAUAAGUAGCAACCUCACUAUCUACUCCUCAGCCCAGGUGAUUCUCCAUGCCUGAAAACUGAGCGCAGAUCCCUCCAGUCAGGUAACAGAGGAUAUGCACCUUCUUAUCUAGUUCCUUCUACCCUAUUUUCCAGCCCCCCCAAUCCACACCAUGAGAUUCACAAAAUGAAACACUCAUUCUAAGUCUAGUUUUAAUACUGAAUAUCAAACCUGACCUACCUCAAUCAAAAAUUGUCUUACCCCAUUCCCCAACCCAUCCUUCUUCCUUUGAUCAUUUCAUCUUCUGGCUCCUUCCAUGGGGUGCUAGCCUAUCCACUUUGGUUUUACAUUUCUUCCUCACAGCCAGCCACUUCUACUGUUCCAUGUCUCUUUUUCUAUUCCUUUCUCACUACACUAAACUCACUUCCUUUUUCCUGUGCCCACCUUGUUGCUAUGACAAUCAUUUAUAUUGGAAAUAAAUAGGUCAAAGUCCUUGAAGAUUAGUUUUUUGCCUACCCUUCCCUCAAACCUUACACAUUCUAUUCACUGUCUUUCCUUUUACCAUACUGAAUAACUUGUGAGUUGCCUAAAUUUGUCAUGUUGUUUUUUAGUCUUUUGACUCUUUAAAAAGAUACCCUUUCUUCCUAUUAUGACAUUCUCUGCUUCUUCAUACUUCUAAAAAGAAAACCUCAAGACUCAACUCUCCUGGGAAUUCAUAUUUCAAUAUCCAGACUGGUGGUUCUCAAACUUGGUCUCACAUUGGAAUCACUUAGAAAGCUUUAAAAAUAAUAUUGGGUCCUGAGCCCCACCCUCUGAGAUUCAGAUUUAACUGGUAUUGGGUAGCGCCUGGAGAUAGAGAUUUUAGCACCUCCCCAGGUGAUUACAAUGUGCGACCAAGAUUGAGAACCACCACUGCCCUAAGUGAUAUGAAUGCCCAUCUUCUGUAACCUGUAUCACUUUACUCGUCAUUAUCAGCACUUUUUACCUUGCACAUUGAAUUGUCUUGUAGCAGGACAAGCUGCAGGCAAAACCCCUCAGACAAUGGGUUAAAGAAGGAAGAGGCUUUAUUCAGACAGGAGCAUCAGCAGACUUGCAUCUCAAGAACCAAGCUCCCCGAAGAAAGAGUUCCUGGCCCUUUUAAGGGCUUACAGCUCUAAGGGGUCCACGUGACAGGGUCGUGAUAGAUUGAGCAAGCAUGGGGUGCAUGACUAGGUGGGGGUGGUGAGCAAGGCAAGUAUUUCUCCAUACCAUUGUCUGUGAUCUAUAGAUAGCACAAGUGGUUAGGGUGGGGGUUAAUCUUUAACCGACAGACCUGGCCAGUGGCGCUGAUCAGUCUGUUAUUUUUCAGUUUUUACUUCCUCCAUUUCUUUGGAGACAGAGGACAGCAGAAGAAAUGGCCACUCUCCUCAGUCUAUGUACCAUAUUUUAUUAGGUUUUAUACCCCAGUGCCUGCAUUAGAAAAUAAAGGAAUCUGGGGUGGGGGAAGCGGGGAGGGAUAGCAUUAGGAGAUAUACCUAAUGUUAAAUGACGAGUUAAUGGGUGCAGCACACCAACAUGGCACAUGUAUACAUAUGUAACAAACCUGCAUGUUGUGCACAUGUACCCCAAAACUUGAAGUAUAAUUAAAAAAAAGAAAAGAAACACAAGUAAACCCAAGUGUUCAUUUAUAGAUGAAUGGGUAAACAAAAUAUGGUAUAUACACAUAAUGGAGUAUUAUAAAAAGAAAAUAAAGGAAUCUUCAACACAUGGCUUUUGAUGAAAUGAAGGAACAAAAUUAUUUCCUGUUUAUACAUGAAUGUGAAUGUUGUUGCUGCUUAAUGAGAUAAAAUACUGAAGUAUCUUGAAAAAAGUCACAUAAAUUGAGAAGAAAGGAAAUAGUACAGUUAGAGAUAGGCACAGGAUGCCAGGGCGAUGACGUGAUGCUUAGAGCCAGGAAAAACUUGAAAUGACACCAGAGCUAUACCCAAAGAAUCAGCAGAUCUUUUACAAAAGUAACAAAAUGAGAUAACUGACAGCCACACUCUCUCCCUUGUGUCCUAAAAGUGUCAACAUAAAUGAAUAUCUAGAACGGCUCUGGUACCUGCUGUUUCAUAAUGCUGAUGAUUUGAUAACAUGUCAGCACUUUUCAACUUUAUCUUCCCCAUUUGAUCUCAAAUCACAAACUUUUUUUUUUAAGUAGUGGAAUGUCCUUCAUAUUAAUGAAACACCUGGACUCCUCUCAUUUUAUCACCCACACUCCAUCUUCUUACUCAUUUGAAGGCAAACAUGAGAAGAUUAAAAAGGCAAAAAAAAAAAUAGAAAAGCAAGUAUAGUAAAAUAAGCAUGAGAAUAAAUCCUGAUGAGCAUUGAGAGACUGGAUAUAAUACCUAACACUAUUUUAUUAGGACACUGUCCAAUUAAGAUAUGUUUAACUUUGGGUAAAGAGUAAGUAUAAAUUCAAUGAUCAGAUUGUUGGGGAACUUACACCACUUUUGCAAAAAAACAAACCAAGACAGUCUGAAUUUGAGGUUCAUAGUUAGGUGUUAUAAUAAUAAAAUUUAGUUUUCAUUAACUGUAUGAUGGCAAUUAUAAUAAGAAACCAAAGCAUUUGUAGUAAAUAUUAUUUUCAAAUUAAAGGAAAGGAAAAAUUUGUAAGAAAAGCUGGCCCUACCAUCAAAAGUACAAUCCCCAAAGCUGUCGGUAAAAAUUCAGAAGAAUUAUAUGAGCUUUCAGAAGACCUGGAACUGAAACUGCUGAUUUCUAAGAUCCCUGUUUUAUAUGAGUAUUGGUAUAUUAGAAAAUUGGCCAUGUUGAAAAUAAUGCUAUUUAUGGUAGGGCUUUAGGAAGCAUGCUAUCAUUCUGAAGCUAAAAAAGAGGGAGGAUUAUUUUUCUCUAUUUAGGUCAAAGUUGAUUUGUUUUGCUCUUUUCUGUUUUGGUAUAAUCAGGUAUUGUUUUUGUUGUUGUUACUGUUUCUUUGGGCUUUUGAAAAUAGUAGAUGAAGACAGGUAUAUGAAUUUGUGUUACUAUUGCUGACUCUCUAGCAGGCAAUUUCCACUUAGGAAAAGGAAAUUAUCUUGCCAAAGAUAAAUCCUUAGGAUGGAAGCUUAUUCUGAUGCUUGAAAUCACAAACAACAAAUAUUUACAUGAACCAUUAAGGUAAUACAAAGGAGAAAAGGUGGCCACUAAGACAAUAGGAAAUGUUGGGAGCUGAAGACAAUUGCCAAUCUCGUCUCAUAUAAAGGAAUUCAGAUUUAUUAUUAAUAUUAUCAUUAUAAUCUUGUUGGCCGCCAUGUGGAUCCUACUUUAAAUAUUUUAUAUAAGAUUCUUCCAUAAAAUAAAUAAUUCUUAUAAUAAAAUUGUUCAAAAUAGCUCACAGGAUAAACUUUUGUUUAGUCCUAAGCAAAUUACAUCUACUGGCAAAAUUAGUUCCUCAGCUGAAAUAACUGAGCACACACAAUUACACAAAAUUUUUUUCUUGUUGCAACAUGUUUUCUUAGAUUUACCCAUUAUCUAAUAUACUUUUCAACUAGAAGGCAAGAAUGAAGAAAAUUUAGAAACAGAAAUAAAUAUUUAUCACAUGCUAAUAUUUCUAGGCUGUAUACUAAAAUUAUUUCAUAUAUUAGCUCAUUUAAUCCUCACAAUGAUUAUAAAGUACAUUUAUUAAUCUCAAGACACACAGGAUAGAACUGAAAGUAAAGAUGUAAAAUGACUUACUUAAAAACCACACUAACAAAUAAUGAAUUUAGGACUGAAAGUGUUUUUCUCAUCGUUUUUGUGUCUUAUCCAGUCUCUUUCUACAACAUCACUUUAAAAAGCUAUCCUUAAUAAACUGUUGUAAUUUUCAUGAUGACAUUCACGUUGUUUGAAAAAGGUACAUACAUAUAUUCUAAACUUUAUUGCCCAAAACAGUCUUCACUGGCAUUGUUUUAUUUGAUAAUUUCUGUGUGGAAACACUAACCAGUGAAAUACUUUUACAAUAUAUCAAUAAACUUCAUUUUUCAACUGCAUUGACAGAAAGCAAGCCAACUUUAAUCAAAAAUGUGAAAUAAUUUUAGUGAUGUAAAAUCAUAAUUAUGCUCUCUUGUGGAAAAUAAGAGCAACAUUUGGCAUCACAGACACUCUGUCAUAAAAAAUUUGCAUUAAAACGUUAUUCUAGAAAAAUGGGUAUUUGUCAAUCUCAUCCAAAUAUCAAACACAGGAAUAAUCUUCAAAUCAAUUAAAUGCUGCUGACUUAAAAAAAUAAUUGCAGCACAUUGCCAACUCAGAAUAAGAUCCCAAUGUCAUUGCAAUUAUGCCUGAAAGCAUCUGGACAAUGCACAUUUCAAUGUGUUUAAAAGCCUAUUAACAUUUUUAUUGCAGGAUGGCAUGACCUCAAUUAUUCAGUUAGGUUUUUGUGUAACCGUUAAGAGAUGUCUCUAGAACAUGUGAUAUGGUUUGGCUUUGUGUCCCAACCCAAAUCUUCUCUUGAAUUGCAAUCCCAUAAUCCCUAUGUGUUGUGGGAGGGACCUGGUAGGACAUAAUUGAUUAAUGGGGGCAGAUUUCCCCCAGUGCUGUUCUCGUGAUAGUGAGUGAGUUCUCACGAGAUCUGAAGGUUUUAUAAAGGGCUCUCCCCUUCAGUAGGCACUCAUUUUCUCUCCUGCUACCCUGUGAAGAGGUGCCUUCCACCAUGAUUCUAAGUUUCCUGAGGCCUCUCCAGCCAUGCAGAACUGUGAGUCAAUUAAAACUCUUUUCUUUGUAAAUUAC
rnacentral:lncRNA from 10 species